AGCAACAGCAACAGCAACAGCAACAGCAACGUCUACAUCAACAGCAGCAAAGCCAGAUAUGAUGCAAACAGAUAUAGCAGUGGAUCUAAUUGUGCAUAUUGAAGAAGACAAUCAAAAUCAACAGACUUAUGAGAAUAUGAUGCAGACAGAAACAGCAGAGGAUCUAAGUGGGCAUGCUGAACAAGAAAAUCAAAAUCAACAUCAGAA